rnacentral:rRNA from 1 species
GUGGGGAAUCUUGCGCAAUGGGCGAAAGCCUGACGCAGCCAUGCCGCGUGAAUGAUGAAGGUCUUAGGAUUGUAAAAUUCUUUCACCGGGGACGAUAAUGACGGUACCCGGAGAAGAAGCCCCGGCUAACUUCGUGCCAGCAGCCGCGGUAAUACGAAGGGGGCUAGCGUUGCUCGGAAUUACUGGGCGUAAAGGGCGCGUAGGCGGACAGUUUAGUCAGAGGUGAAAGCCCAGGGCUCAACCUUGGAAUUGCCUUUGAUGCUGGCUGUCUUGAGUACGGGAGAGGUGAGUGGAACUCCGAGUGUAGAGGUGAAAUUCGUAGAUAUUCGGAAGAACACCAGUGGCGAAGGCGACUCACUGGCCCGUUACUGACGCUGAGGCGCGAAAGCGUGGGGAGCAAACAGGAUUAGAAACCCGUGUAGUCC